rnacentral:rRNA from 1 species
GUGCCAGCAGCCGCGGUAAUACGUAGGUGGCAAGCGUUGUCCGGAAUUAUUGGGCGUAAAGCGCGCGCAGGCGGUCUCUUAAGUCUGAUGUGAAAGCCCACGGCUCAACCGUGGAGGGUCAUUGGAAACUGGGGGACUUGAGUGCAGAAGAGGAAAGUGGAAUUCCACGUGUAGCGGUGAAAUGCGUAGAUAUGUGGAGGAACACCAGUGGCGAAGGCGACUUUCUGGUCUGUAACUGACGCUGAGGCGCGAAAGCGUGGGGAGCAAACAGGAUUAGAUACCCUGGUAGUCCACGCCGUAAACGAUGAGUGCUAAGUGUUAGAGGGUUUCCGCCCUUUAGUGCUGCAGCUAACGCAUUAAGCACUCCGCCUGGGGAGUACGGUCGCAAGACUGAAACUUAAAUGAAUUGACGGGG